GGGUCCUGGAAGGUCAAAGUGUUAUAUGGCCACCCAUGGGUUUUAAUGGGUCCCUGUAUGGGUUCGGGUCCUGGAAGGUCAAAGUCAUAUAGGGCCGCCCAUGGGUUCCAAUGGGUCCUUUGAUGGGGUGGGGUCCCGGAAGGCGCGUUGCCAUUGGGCGCUGAGCUCAGGUCCUUGCAGGUCAGAGCCGCGGCUUCGCCUUCGUGGAGUUCCACCACGUCCAGGAGGCGGCGCGUUGGAUGGACGCCAACCAGCAGGGCGUGGUGCUGUUGGGGCAGCGCGUCUCCCUGCACUACAGCGACCCCAAACCCAAAAUCAACGAGGACUGGCUGUGCGCCAAGGUGCCCUAUGGGGUUAUGGGGUCAUAUGGGGUCCUAUGGGGUCAUAUGGGGUCUUAUGGGGUU
rnacentral:lncRNA from 1 species